rnacentral:rRNA from 1 species
UACGUAGGGUGCAAGCGUUGUCCGGAAUUAUUGGGCGUAAAGAGCUUGUAGGCGGUUUGUUGCGUCUGCUGUGAAAUUUCGGGGCUCAACCCCGAACUUGCAGUGGGUACGGGCAGACUAGAGUGUGGUAGGGGAGACUGGAAUUCCUGGUGUAGCGGUGAAAUGCGCAGAUAUCAGGAGGAACACCGAUGGCGAAGGCAGGUCUCUGGGCCAUAACUGACGCUGAGAAGCGAAAGCAUGGGGAGCGAACAGG